rnacentral:rRNA from 1 species
AGUGAACGCUGGCGGUAGGCCUAACACAUGCAAGUCGAACGGCAGCACAGUAAGAGCUUGCUCUUACGGGUGGCGAGUGGCGGACGGGUGAGGAAUACAUCGGAAUCUACUUUUUCGUGGGGGAUAACGUAGGGAAACUUACGCUAAUACCGCAUACGACCUACGGGUGAAAGCAGGGGAUCUUCGGACCUUGCGCGAUUGAUUGAGCCGAUGUCGGAUUAGCUAGUUGGCGGGGUAAGGGCCCACCAAGGCGACGAUCCGUAGCUGGUCUGAGAGGAUGAUCAGCCACACUGGAACUGAGACACGGUCCAGACUCCUACGGAAGGCAGCAGUGGGGAAUAUUGGACAAUGGGCGCAAGCCUGAUCCAGCCAUACCGCGUGGGUGAAGAAGGCCUUCGGGUUGUAAAGCUCUUUUGUUGGGAAAGAAAAGCAGCAGGUUAAUACCCCGCUGUUCUGACGGUACCCAAAGAAUAAGCACCGGCUAACUUCGUG